ensembl:snRNA U6 U6 spliceosomal RNA
GUGCUUGCUUCAGCAGCACAUAUACUACAAUUAGAAUGAUACACAGAAGAUUAGUAUAGCCCCUGUGCAAGGAUGACAUGCAAAUUCGUGAAGCGUUCCAGAAAAUU